GUUACAAUUAAAAUGAAUCCCUAUUAGGGAUUGAAAC
rfam:Cyanothece sp. PCC 7424, complete genome.